rnacentral:rRNA from 1 species
GACGAACGCUGGUGGCGUGCCUAAUACAUGCAAGUCGAACGCAUUUUCUUUCACCGUAGCUUGCUACACCGAAAGAAAAUGAGUGGCGAACGGGUGAGUAACACGUGGGUAACCUGCCCAUCAGCGGGGGAUAACACUUGGAAACAGGUGCUAAUACCGCAUAAUUCCAUUUACUGCAUGGUAGAUGGAUGAAAGGCGCUUUUGCGUCACUGAUGGAUGGACCCGCGGUGCAUUAGCUAGUUGGUGGGGUAACGGCCUACCAAGGCUGCGAUGCAUAGCCGACCUGAGAGGGUGAUCGGCCACACUGGGACUGAGACACGGCCCAGACUCCUACGGGAGGCAGCAGUAGGGAAUCUUCGGCAAUGGACGCAAGUCUGACCGAGCAACGCCGCGUGAGUGAAGAAGGUUUUCGGAUCGUAAAACUCUGUUGUUAGAAAAGAACAAGGAUGAGAGUGGAAAGUUCAUCCCUUGACGGUAUCUAACCAGAAAGCCACGGCUAACUACGUG